CAGCAGCCGCGGUAAUACGUAGGUGGCAAGCGUUGUCCGGAAUUAUUGGGCGUAAAGGGCUCGCAGGCGGUUUCUUAAGUCUGAUGUGAAAGCCCCCGGCUCAACCGGGGAGGGUCAUUGGAAACUGGGAAACUUGAGAGCAGAAGAGGAGAGUGGAAUUCCACGUGUAGCGGUGAAAUGCGUAGAGAUGUGGAGGAACACCAGUGGCGAAGGCGACUCUCUGGUCUGUAACUGACGCUGAGGAGCGAAAGCGUGGGGAGCGAACAGGAUUAGAUACCCCGGUAGUCCCUGUCUCUUAUAC
rnacentral:rRNA from 1 species